rnacentral:rRNA from 1 species
CCCCUACGGGGGGCUGCAGUGGGGAAUCUUGCGCAAUGGGCGAAAGCCUGACGCAGCCAUGCCGCGUGAAUGAUGAAGGUCUUAGGAUUGUAAAAUUCUUUCACCGGGGACGAUCAUGACGGUACCCGGAGAAGAAGCCCCGGCUAACUUCGUGCCAGCAGCCGCGGUAAUACGAAGGGGGCUAGCGUUGCUCGGAAUUACUGGGCGUAAAGGGCGCGUAGGCGGAGCGUUAAGUCAGAGGUGAAAGCCCAGGGCUCAACCCUGGAACUGCCUUUGAUACUGGCGAUCUUGAGUAUGAGAGAGGUAUGUGGAAUUCCGAGUGUAGAGGUGAAAUUCGUAGAUAUUAGGAAGAACACCAGUGGCGAAGGCGACAUACUGGCUCAUUACUGACGCUGAGGCGCGAAAGCGUGGGGAGCAAACAGGAUUAGAUACCCCUGUAGUCG